rnacentral:rRNA from 1 species
UGGGGAAUAUUGCACAAUGGAGGGAACUCUGAUGCAGCGACGCCGCGUGAACGAAGAAGGCUUUCGAGUCGUAAAGUUCUUUCAUAUGGGAAGAUAAUGACGGUACCAUAAGAAAAAGCCCCGGCUAACUACGUGCCAGCAGCCGCGGUAAUACGUAGGGGGCUAGCGCUGUCCGGAAUCACUGGGCGUAAAGGUUUGGCAGUCGGAAAUGCAAGUCAGGUGUAAAAGGCAGUAGCUUAACUACUGUAAGCAUUUGAAACUGCAUAUCUUGAGAAGAGUAGAGGUAAGUGGAAUUUUUAGUGUAGCGGUGAAAUGCGUAGAUAUUAAAAAGAAUACCGGUGGCGAAGGCGGCUUACUGGGCUCAUUCUGACGCUGAGGAACGAAAGCGUGGGUAGCAAACAGG